rnacentral:lncRNA from 1 species
AAACAUAACUGUUAAGCUAUUACAAGCAUUCAGCACAUUUACAUCCCAAUUAUAUCAAGUUUACAUUCAACUUCCAAAUACAAUCAUUUUAUUAUUACAAAUUGUUUCGUUCUUUUCUUCUCUACCCCCCUAAGCUAAGCUGACUCUAAGUAUUUCUAUCUCUGGUCUCAGUGGUAGGGCGCUAUCUACCGAGCUACGCCCUUUCCUCGCGCUGUCGCGCUGCUCACGCAUGGACCUGAAAAAAUGUGGGGUGAGAACUAUAUACAUAGUUCCCAGUGGGGACGACCACCUAAAGGAAGAGCUCGACCCGCCAGGUCCAAAGGAGGCAAGAUAAGCAGGUUAGUCCAAUAGAUAUAUAUAUGUUGUCACGCCCCGCGACCAACCGCCAAUUUGGACCGGGUUGCGGCGCCGCUAACAGACCGCCGAACUGACCGGGAUUUCCCCUGUACGCGGACAGAGUCUCCCCUGUACGUUCUAGGCGUCGCAAUCCAAACAAUACAACGAGUGUUUCAACUAGGAACGGAUAACCAUCCAGAUUGCAAAUGAAGUAUCAAAUACAUAAAACUAACAGCUAUUACAAGCAUUCAUUCACAUUCACUUAGUACAUCUCAGUUCAGUUUACAUUUUUACUUUCAAUUACAAUCACAUUAUUACGUCAUUUAAUUUUACAAGUUUGAUACAUUUUGAUUCUUGCCUUCUAGACCCCUAAGCUAGACUGCCUCAGGGUACUGCUACCUCGGUCUCUGUGGUAGGGCGCUAUCUACUGAGCUACGCCCUCACCUCGCGCCACCGCGCUGCACACGUACAACCUGAAAACACCCCAAAAUCACGUGGGGUGAGAACCAACUCCAUUGUUCCCAGUG